GGAUCUAGUGCAUGUUGGAAGA
rnacentral:siRNA from 1 species